AAUGGCUGGCAGAUGACCCCUAUUGAUUUUCAGGUCACUAGAUCAAAGGUCAAGGUCACGGUGACCGGAAAUAGUAAAAUGGUUCCCGGAUGAUAACUCAAGAACGCUUAUGCCUAGGAUCAUGAAACUUCAUAGGUAGAUUGAUCAUGACUCGCAGAUGACCCCUAUUGAUUUUCAGGUCACUAGGUCAAAGGUCAAGGUUACGGUGAC